rnacentral:rRNA from 1 species
GACGAACGCUGGCGGCGUGCUUAACACAUGCAAGUCGAACGGAAAGGCCCUGCUUUUGUGGGGUGCUCGAGUGGCGAACGGGUGAGUAACACGUGAGUAACCUGCCCUUGACUUUGGGAUAACUUCAGGAAACUGGGGCUAAUACCGGAUAGGAGCUCCUGCUGCAUGGUGGGGGUUGGAAAGUUUCGGCGGUGGGGGAUGGACUCGCGGCUUAUCAGCUUGUUGGUGGGGUAGUGGCCUACCAAGGCUUUGACGGGUAGCCGGCCUGAGGGGGUGACCGGCCACAUUGGGACUGAGAUACGGCCCAGACUCCUACGGGAGGCAGCAGUGGGGAAUAGUGCACAAUGGGCGGAAGCCUGAUGCAGCAACGCCGCGUGCGGGAUGACGGCCUUCGGGUUGUAAACCGCUUUCGCCUGUGACGAAGCGUGAGUGACGGUAAUGGGUAAAGAAGCACCGGCUAACUACGUG